UUUUUAAAAAAAAUCUAAGUGUAUAUACGUAGCAUGACAAGAGAUAGCUGCCAACUUAAGUGCUAUCAUCCAGACUAAAUAAUUGUUGUUUUAUAUUAAAAUCAAUUUUCUUUUAUAAAUCAGAGUCCUUGCCAUUAAAUGGCAACUUAGGGUACCUAGUAUUUUUUUUUUGCCUGGGUGACCAUGUAUAACAAUUACAUUUGUUUACUUAACAUUGUAAAUAUGUAAAUAUUGUAGAUUAUUAAUUUGUCUGCAGUUGCUAUAUUGGUGGACUGCUUACCUACAUGAUAUUGAAUUCUACAGUUAUCCUGGUUUACAUUGCUACAAGUAGGGAUUACUUUAUACUUUUGUCACUUGCAAUUCAUUUUCUAUGGACUACAAUUUUUAGGUCUACUUUAAGUUGAACCAUCAUUUCACUCAAAUGCUAUUAGUCAUUUUUUUACAUUGCAACUAAAACUCUUAUCUGUAAUUUGAUGUAAACCACAUAUGUUCAUUAGAAAUAACGUAGAAUUGUUGAGAUAGCCACCAUUGUAGGAAGGCCUUAUGGAUUAUAUACCGAAUAUGCAUUCAAGAAAGAUGCAAGAAUAUUAGAAUUAUCCUUUUUACAGUAUACACUGAAUUGAAUAAACAUUGUUGAUAGUUGCCAUAUAUACAUUAUUAUAAAUGUUGAUUAAUGUUUCAGUGUAUCACAAUGUCAUUGUAUCUAUUUGAAAGUUGUUUUGAUUUUGCAAAUUUCCUAGUCGUAUUGGUUUGUACUUGCUAUGUUGAACAAUUGAAGUUAGUUUUUAUACAAGCAAUUUGGAAUAAAAGUUGAUAAAAUUGUAUUUGUUUGACAUCAAUGUAUUACUAUUAAAAAAUG